rnacentral:rRNA from 1 species
UACGUAGGGGGCUAGCGUUGUCCGGAAUCAUUGGGCGUAAAGAGCGUGUAGGCGGCCCGGUAAGUCCGCUGUGAAAGUCGGGGGCUCAACCCUCGAAUGCCGGUGGAUACUGUCGGGCUAGAGUGCGGAAGAGGCGAGUGGAAUUCCGUGGUGUAGCGGUGAAAUGCGCAGAUAUCAGGAGGAACACCAAUUGCGAAGGCAGCUCGCUGGGACGUAACUGACGCUGGAGACGCGAAAGCGUGGGGAGCAAACAGG